rnacentral:rRNA from 1 species
GUCGAACGAGCGAGAGAGAGCUUGCUUUCUCGAGCGAGUGGCGAACGGGUGAGUAACGCGUGAGGAACCUGCCUCAAAGAGGGGGACAACAGUUGGAAACGACUGCUAAUACCGCAUAAGCCCACGACCCGGCAUCGGGUAGAGGGAAAAGGAGCAAUCCGCUUUGAGAUGGCCUCGCGUCCGAUUAGCUAGUUGGUGAGGUAACGGCCCACCAAGGCGACGAUCGGUAGCCGGACUGAGAGGUUGAACGGCCACAUUGGGACUGAGACACGGCCCAGACUCCUACGGGAGGCAGCAGUGGGGAAUAUUGCACAAUGGGGGAAACCCUGAUGCAGCGACGCCGCGUGGAGGAAGAAGGUCUUCGGAUUGUAAACUCCUGUUGUUGAGGAAGAUAAUGACGGUACUCAACAAGGAAGUGACGG